rnacentral:rRNA from 1 species
UCCUGAAACGGGUGUAAUGCCGUAUGUCCACAUGAGCGCAUGCGAGUGUGGGGAAAGGCUUUUGCGGCAUGGGAUGGGGUCGCGUCCUAUCAGCUUGUUGGUGGGGUAACGGCCUACCAAGGCGUUGACGGGUAGCCGGCCUGAGAGGGCGACCAGCCACAUUGGGACUGAGAUACGGCCCAGACUCCUACGGGAGGCAGCAGUGGGGAAUAUUGCACAAUGGGCGCAAGCCUGAUGCAGCGACGCCGCGUGCGGGAUGGAGGCCUUCGGGUUGUAAACCGCUUUUGUUCAAGGGCAAGGCACGGUUUCGGCCGUGUUGAGUGGAUUGUUCGAAUAAGCACCGGCUAACUACGUGCCAGCAGCCGCGGUAGUACGUAGGGUGCAAGCGUUAUCCGGAUUUAUUGGGCGUAAAGGGCUCGUAGGCGGUUCGUCGCGUCCGGUGUGAAAGUCCAUCGCUUAACGGUGGAUCCGCGCCGGGUACGGGCGGGCUUGAGUGCGGUAGGGGAGACUGGAAUUCCCGGUGUAACGGUGGAAUGUGUAGAUAUCGGGAAGAACACC